rnacentral:rRNA from 1 species
UACGGAGGAUGCAAGCGUUAUCCGGAAUGAUUGGGCGUAAAGAGUCCGUAGGUGGUUAUUCAAGUCGAUUGUUAAAGAGCGGGGCUUAACCCCGUAGAAGCAGUGGAAACUGAAUAACUAGAGAGAGGUAGGGGUAGAGGGAAUUCCCGGUGUAGCGGUGAAAUGCGUAGAGAUCGGGAAGAACACCAGUGGCGAAAGCGCUCCACUGGGCCUCAUCUGACACUGAGGGACGAAAGCUAGGGGAGCGAAAGGG